UACGAACCGUACAAGCGUUAUUCGGAAUCACUGGGCUUAAAGGGUGCGUAGGCGGCCAUGUAAGUGGGGUGUGAAAUCCCUCGGCUCAACCGAGGAACUGCGCUCCAUACUGCAUGGCUUGAGGGAGACAGGGGUAAGCGGAACUGAUGGUGGAGCGGUGAAAUGCGUUGAUAUCAUCAGGAACACCGGUGGCGAAAGCGGCUUACUGGGUCUCUUCUGACGCUGAGGUACGAAAGCUAGGGGAGCGAACGGG
rnacentral:rRNA from 1 species